rnacentral:misc_RNA from 1 species
UGAACAGCCUAGGCAGAUUGUGAAGGUUGUUCAUCCAGAUAGGAAAGCUCCUGUUAAUCGAAAUGAAUCUUUAAAUGCCCUACCUUAUGGCCAGGAUAUAGAAGAUGAAGAAAGUGAAGAUGAAUGUGAUGAUUGUACUGAUUCUGGCAGUAUAGCAACCAAAGGCUGUGGUAUGCUUCCUCGGUUAUGCGUAAGGAAUUCUUUGAGCCUCUUGAAUCCUGUUCCUGUGAUCAAAGUUAGGGCCCAAGCUUCGAUGUCUUCCACCCGUGACGAUAUUAAAAAACUGAGUAAAGCAGCUUAUGCCAGGUCUCAGAGUCCAUCAGUAAAGAAGCCUGCCAAGGAUGCUGUUUAUAAACAAAA